rnacentral:rRNA from 1 species
GUCAGCAUGGCCUUUAUGCCUGGGGCUACACACGUGCUACAAUGACCGGUACAAAAGGGUUGCAAUCCCGUAAGGGGGAGCCAAUCUCAAAAAACCGGCCUCAGUUCAGAUUGAGGUCUGCAACUCGACCUCAUGAAGGUGGAAUCGCUAGUAAUCGCGGAUCAGCACGCCGCGGUGAAUACGUCCCCGCCCCUUGUACACACCGCCCGUCACACCACGAAAGUCAGUUGUACCAGAAGUCACUGGCGCCAACCCGUAAGGGAGGCAGGUGCCCAAGGUAUGGUUGGUAAUUGGGGUGAAGUCGUAACAAGGUAAA